UACGGGGGGAGCGAGCGUUAUUCGUCAUGAUUGGGCGUAAAGGGGAUCUGUAGGUGGUUUUAAAAAAGGGCGUUUGUAAAGCCUUAUGGGAAGUCAUUGGGAAGAUGACGUGCCUUUUUUUUGACUUUUGAGUAUAUUGGAUGGUUGCAGUACCCACAGAGGAGAGGUGGAAUUCGAAGAUACUGUUUGGGGACUCGCAUUAUGUGAAAACGGCGACCGUCGGUAUUACUGACGCUUGAGGGAUGAAAGCAUGGGGAGCAGACAGG
rnacentral:rRNA from 1 species